GACGAACCGAGCGAACGUUGUUCGGAAUCACUGGGCUUAAAGGGCGCGUAGGCGGGCUGUCAAGUCUGGGGUGAAAUCCCACGGCUCAACCGUGGAACUGCCUUAGAUACUGACGGCCUCGAGGGAGGUAGGGGCGAGCGGAACUGUGAGUGGAGCGGUGAAAUGCGUUGAUAUUCACAGGAACUCCGGUGGCGAAGGCGGCUCGCUGGACCUUUUCUGACGCUGAGGCGCGAAAGCUAGGGGAGCAAACGGG
rnacentral:rRNA from 1 species